rnacentral:lncRNA from 1 species
CCAUCUCUUGUAGAACUAAGAAACCCGAGUCUUUGCUGUGACAAACAGAAUAAAAACUUGAGAUUUCUACAUACUGCAUCUUAUUCAUCUGAAAAAAUUAUUAAAUUACCGUCGAAAAUUGAAUGACAUGUUGUCUUGUCGCCAAUCCAUGUGUUUGGUGUUCCAUCCAAGGACCCUAGCCUGCAACACUUCAUUGAGUUCUUGCUUCAAAAUAGUGAUCUCCUUCAUCAUCUCUUUGUUGUGAGUGCUAUUUCCCACUUGUCGUACGUCUAGUGAUGGAUUAUAUACGAUAACCCUUUUCCUCAUCCGAUUUAC